rnacentral:lncRNA from 1 species
CUUAGAUCUGUGUUAGGCAUUGUGGGUAUAGAAAAAAAAAAAAGAGCACCUAGCAUGGUUCCAACCAUCAGGAGGUAACAAUCUGGUGAAUAAUGCCAUCAUUAUUAGUACCUGAUAUAUGCCAGAUUACUUACUAAAUGCUUCCUAUGAAUUUAAUUCUCUCAACUACCCUGAGAGGUAGGUAUUAGUAUCUUCAUUUUGUGGAUGAAGAAACUAGGAUUCAAAAGAAGUCAGAGCCAGCAAGCAACCAGUGGAACCAGGAUUCAAAUUAAGACACUUAAGGUAACUCUAUCAAAACACCAGCUGACCACUAGAGUGCCAGAACAGAGACUUCAGGGACUACAUAAGACAAAGAAUAUAGACUUUACAAAAACAGUUUUGAAAAGUCACUAAAGAAGUAACAGCAUCCCACAAUCGGUAACAAAAACAAAUUUUGGGUAAGGUAGAGAAUCUGGUUUCCAGAAUUGCUAUGCUAUAAAAUUCAAAAUAUUCAGUUUUCAACAAAAAAUACAAGAACUGCAGAUACAAGAAAGUAUGGUGUAUCUACGGAAAAGAAAAAAUAAAAGAAAGAAACUACUCCUUAGGAAGCCCUGGCACUGGGCUUACUAGACAAAGACUUUAAAUGACUUAUCAGCUAUAUGCAAAAACCUAGAGGAAACCAAUAAAACAAUAGAAAAUAUUAAUGAAGAGAUAGAAAUUAUUUUUUAAAAGAAACAAAUAGAAAUGGAAAUUAAAAAUUCACUAGAGAGAUUUAAUAGCUGAUUGAACAAGUGAAGAAAAAAUCAGGGAACUUAAAGAUACGUCAGUUGAAAUCAUUCAGUCAAGGGAGCAGAAAGAGAAAAGAAUGAAGAAAAAUGAGCAGAACCUGAGACCUGUGGGACACCAUCAAGUUUACCAACAUAUGAAUAAGCAGGUUCCCAGAGGAAGAGGAGAGACAGAAAGGUGCAGAAAGAAUAUUGGAAGAAAUAACAAUGAAAAACUUCCCAAACUGGAUGAAAAAUAUGAAUCUACACAUCCAAAAAUUAUGACAAAAUCCGGACAUGAAAAACUCAAAAAUAUCCACACCAAGACACAUAAUAGUCAAAUUGUAAAAAACGACAAAGACAGCAUCUUCAGAAAACCAAGAGAGAAGUAAUUCAUCACAUGUGAGGGAUCUUCAAUAAGACUAACAGUUUAUGUUCGGAAACCAUGGAGGCAGUUGGACAUUUAAAUUUUUGAAAAAAAUGCAAACCAAUAAUUAUAUAUUCAGCAAAACUAUCCUGCAAAAAGUGAAGGAAAAUUUAAGACAUUCUCAAAUAAACAAAAACUUGAGGAAGUUCAUCACAAAUAGACUUCCUGUACAAUACACGCAAUAGGAUAAGAAUCGUCUAGGUUGAAAUGAAAGUACACCAGACAGUAACCCAAAUCCACAUGAAGAAAUAAAGAACAAAAGGAAAAGUAGUUGCACGGGUAAUUGUAAAAGCUGGUGGUGUUGCAUAUACAAUUUGUAAUGCCUCCUUUUUUCUCUUUGUCAUUCUUUUUUGUUUCCAUAUGAUUUAAAAGACAAAGAAAUAAAACAAUAAUUACAAAACUGUGUUAAUAAACAUACUAUAUAUAUGGAAUUUGUGAAAUAACACAAAAUGGGGAGAUAGAGCUGUAAAGGAGCAGAGUUUUUGCAUACUAUUGAAACUAAGUUAGUAUUAAUUCAAAUUUGAUUGGUAUAGAGUUAAGAUCCUAAUUUUAUCCCCAUGGUAACCACUAAGAAAAAAAAACUAAAAACUAUAUUUUAAAAGAGAUGAAAAGGGAAUCAAAAUUAUACACUAGAAAAAGAAAUCAGCUAAUCACAAAAGAAAGCAGCAAUGGAGGGAUUGAGGAAUAAAAAGAGUACAACUCCAUGACAAAAGGAGAAACAAUCCAAUUUAAAAAUGGGCAGGCCAGAGGCCAGGUGUGGUGGCCCACACCCGUAAUCCCAGCACCUCACAAGGCUGAGGUGGGCAGAUUGCUUGAGCCCAAGACUUCGAGACCAGCCUGGGCACCAUGGCAAAACCCUGUGUCUACAAAAAAUUAGCCAGGAGUGGUGGCAUGCACCUGUGGUCCCAGCUAUCCAGGAGGCUGAAGUGGGAGGAUUGUCUGAGCCCAGAAAGUCGAGGCUGCAGCAAGCUGUGAUCAUGACAUUGCACUCCAGCCUGGGCAUCAGAGCAAGAUCUUAUCUCAAAACAAAAAAAGGGCAGGCUGGGCAUGGUCGCUUAUGCCUUUAAUCCCAACAUUUUGGGAGGUCAAGUUGGGAGGAUUGCUUGAGGCCAGGAGUUCGAGACCAGUCUGGGCAACAUAGUAAGAUUCCCAUCUCUACAAAAUAUUUUUUUUUAAGUUAGCCAGGCGUGGUGGCACAUACCUGUACUCCCAGCUACUUGGGAGGCUGAAGUGGGAGGAUCCCUUGAACCCAGGAGGUCGAGGCUGCAGUGAGCCAUGAUCAUACCACUGCACCCCAGCCUAGGUGACAGAGCAAGACCAUGUCUCAAAAAUAAAUAAAUAAAAAUAAAAAUAAGACAGCCAGGUGUGAUGGUUCAUGCCUGUCAACCUAGCACUUUGGGAGGCCAAGGCAGGAGUAUCACUUGAGGCCAGAAGUUUAAGACCAGACUAGGCAACAUGGUGAGACCCCAUUUCUACAAAAAAAUUAAAAAUUAGCUGGGUAUGGUGUGUAAUCCCAGCUAUUUGGGAAGCUGAGGCAAGAGGAUUGGUUGAGCUCAGGAAGUUGAAGCUGCAGCAGUGAGCUAUAAUUGCACCACUGCACUCCAGCCUGGGCAACAGAGUGAGGCCCUGUCUCUUAAAAAAAAAAGAAAGUUGAGGGCGAGUGCAAAGGAUCUGAAUAGACAUUUCCCAAAGAAAAUACACAAAUGGUCAGUAAGUACCUGAAAACAUACUCAACAUCAUGAGUCAUCAGGGAAAUGAAAAUCAAAACCACAAUGAGAUACUUCACACCCACUAGGAUGGCUAUUUAAAAUAAUAAUAAUAAUAAUACAUGUUGUUGGGGAUGUAGGGAAAUGGGAGCUCCCUACACAUUGCUGGUGGGAAUGUAAAAUGUUGCAGCCAAGUGGAAAGUAGUUUAGCAGUUUCUCAAAAAUUAAAUAUAGAAUUACCAUAUGACCCAGUGAUUCUGCUCCUAGGUAUAUAUCCAAAAUCAUUGAAAAUAGGUAAUCAAACAAAUAUUGCACAUGAAUAUUCAUAGCAACCCUAUUCAUAAUAGCCGAAAUGUGGAGGCAACCCAAAUGGUCAUCAGUGAAUGAAUGAAUUUUUUAAAUGUGGUAUGUCUAUAGAGUGGAAUAUUAUUCAGUCAUAAAAAGGAAUGGGCUGGGCACGGUGGCUCAUACCUGUAAUCCCAGCACUUUGGGAGGCCAAGGUAGGUGGACUGCUUGAGCUCAACAGUUCUUCAAGACCAGCCUGGGCAACAUGGUGAAACCCCGUCUCUAUCAAAAACACAAAAAAAUUAGUUGGACAUGAUGGCGCACACCUGUGGUCCUAGCUACUCAGGAGGAUGAGGUGGGAGGAUGACUUGAGCCCAGGAGGCAGAGGUUGCAGUGAGCCAAGAUCACACCGCUGCACUCCAACCUGGGUGACAGAGUGAGACCCCUGUCUCAAAAAUAAAAUUUUAAAAAAUAAAAAGGAAUAAUGAAUUCAUAAAUGCUACAACAUGAUGAACCUUAAAAAUAUUAUGCUAAGAGAAAGAAGACAGUCACAAAAUCAUUCUCUGAUUUCAUUUAUAAGAAACUUUUAGAAUAGGUAGAUCUGUAUAGACAGUAAGUAGAUUAGUGGUUGCCAGAGGUUAAAGGAGAGGCAAUGGGGAGUCACUGCUUAAUAAGUACGAAGUGUCCUUUUAGGAUUAAAUGUUCUGGAAUUAGAUAGUGGUGAUGCUUAUACAACAUUGUGAAUGCAGUAGAUGCCACCAAAUUGUACACUUUAAAAUGGUUAAUGGUUCAUUUUAUGUUAUGUGAAUGUUACUUCAAUAAAAAAGUAUUAUUAUUAUUUUUGAAAUGGUGUCUCACUCUGUGGCCCAGGCUGGAUUGCAGUGGCGUGAUCUCGGCUCACUGCAACCUCUGCCUCCUGGGUUCAAGUGAUUCUCCUGUCUCAGCCUCCCAAGUAGCUGGGAUUACAGGCGCAUGCCACCACAACCAGCUAAAUUUUUUGUAUUUUUAGUAGAAACGGGGUUUCACCAUAUUGGCCAGGCUGGUGUCGAACUCCUGACCUCAGGUGAUCCACCCGCCUCGGCCUCCCAAAAUGCUGGGAUUACAGGCGUGAGCUACUGCACUCGACCAAAAACAAGAUUUUUAAAAAUUCUGCUUCUAAAAUGUGAGUGUGCCUUCCUCCUGUGACUCAUUGAGGUAUGUUUUGUUAAAAGCCUUUAAAAGGACAGAGAGCUGGGACUUCAUCAACCUUAAAAAACUGUUUAUAUGAGCUCUUUUGUUACUGCUA